GGAAGUGGAUCGUGACACGAUGAAAGUAAAUUUUUCUUUUCUUCCUUUUCCAUAUCCGAUGGCCAGUUGCCGUUUGAUUUAUGUUCCUUUUUUCCUUUACCUCGAGAGAACCUUUCUUUCUCGAAGCAAGAAACUUCUCUCUAUACGAAUUGUCUCUUUCUAAAAAGAAAAAAAAGAAAAAAAAGGAAAAAUAAAGUUCGAGGAAUAUUUUUAAAUAUCUAUAUUAUAUCUGGCUAAUUUUUCUUAAAAUUACAAUAUGUAACAACCUUUGAACAAAUAUCGAUGCAAAUUGAUACGGAUUAUUAAAAUAUUUACCAAUUAUAGCAACACUUUACACUGCAAAUAUUGAAAUGAAUCAAACGCUUAAUCGAGUAAUUUUCAAGGCAAACAACCUGCAUCGCAACGACAAACAUCCGCCUGUGUUUUAUUAGAGUGUGUGUAUAUAUAUAUAUAUAUGCGUGUACUGCGACCAACAUCACUCGUUUAAAAUCUAUUUUACAAUGUUGCCAACUGCCGCGUUCUUUCGACGUAUCAAAUAACAAAAUAGAGAAGCGCGCCCUUCUUCUCCUUCUUCUCCCUCCUUCUUCUUCUUUAUGCUAAUAAAGCAGCGGCGAGUUUCCAUUCCUUUGCCCGUUGAUCCUGAUUUAUUCGCAUUCGCGUGCUACGGUGUAUUGCGUUCGAGGUUGCAUCGCGCUUAAACGAAGCGAAUAUAAAUGUGUAAUAAAUUUAGGAAAAUGUAUAAAUUAUUCGUAUUACGUUUCUCUUAUUUAAUUCUUACGUUUAUUAUUACGUUAGGUUUGUUGCGAUCUAAUAUCAAGAUUAAAAGUGGCGAUUUUAUUUAUCUAUCAUCGAGAUUAGUAGAAAAGGAGAAGAUAUAAAAAGUUAUUACGAAAUUACGAUGCAAAUUUUCGCUUAAUUGUAAUCAAUCCUACUAGCGAAUUUGUUUUUCCUGUUCGAUCAUAGCGUGCUCCUCUCAAUCCUCGAAAAUAAACAAAUCAACGUGGCGGCAGCAUUCGAUCAAUCAGUGCUCUCGACGGGAAUGAAAAUCAGCUUACCUUCAACGAUCGAUAAUCAAAUAUGCAAAUGAAUUAAUAUACGCGAUGAACGAUAUACGCGCCAAGAGUUGUCGGCGAAUAAUUUUUCCCGAUAUUUCCUUGUGUAAAUGUAACAUAAUUUAAUAUUUUACAACAAUAACGAUAAAAUUCUAAUAAAGGUAUAUUAUUAAAA